CAGUGUGCUAACUGCGUGCUCUGUUUUAGCCUGGGCUUGUGCUGGGAAAUCUCCAAUUGGCUUCAAACCUGAGAUUCUCCUUUCUUAGCUUCUACAGUUCUUGAAUAAAAGGGUCUCAUAUACCCGAGGCUGACCUCGGAAGCACCAUGUAGCCUCGGAUGUCCUCCAUCUUGUCUCUACCUCCUGAGUGCUAAGAUCACAGGUGUGCACUUCUUCUACACUUAUUCAUGUACUUCUGCAAAUGGAGCCCAAGGCUUUGUGUAUGAUGGGUAAGUGUGGAUAAGGAGAAGAAGGCACACACGGCAUUCAUAGAACAUGUUCUCCGAUGAUGAGAGACGAAACAGACACAUCAGCCUUAACUUAUCUGGGGGAGUGAACUUCUAUUUGGGGGCCAACUAACCUUAGAAAUAGCAAAUAACAUGGCUAGAACCACCUUUGACAUCUAAACCAACAAACCCAACCCAUGCCCACCCCUCUCUCUUAUUAUUCAGGUCC